UUUAAGUGUGAUGGUAAAAUUAUACUAAAAAUGCAUUUAUCAGGACUUGAAAGACAGUGAGAGUGAUUCAAGCUCAGAGGAAGAACGGAGAGUCACUACCCGAGUUAUUCGCCGGCGUUUGAUUAUAAAGGGAGAGGAAGCAAAAAACAUUCCUGGUGAAUCUGUCACAGAAGAACAAUUUACUGAUGAAGAAGGCAACCUCAUCACCAGAAAAAUCACUCGGAAAGUAUUAAGACGAAUUGUUAUCCCACAAGAGAGAAAACGUGAUGAUGUGCAGGGAGAAGGUUUUAAGGUGAAAACGAAGAAAGAAAUCCGGCAUGUGGAAAAGAAGAGCCACUCGUAACAGCGAACGGUCAGUCAAGGAUCAUAAGUUUUUACUGCCAGUAUUGAGAAAUUCGUGGAAGAAAUGUCAGCAGGAAGUAAAAAUUCACCGAGAAGUGUGUGUGUGUUCGCUGCUUCCACACAUUAAUGGCAUGAUUUUUUUUAUGC
rnacentral:sRNA from 1 species